CAAACACAACAAAAACUACACAAAACUCCUCUCCUUUCUUCACGCCAGUUUUGGCGAGUUUGAGGGUUGUUGUGGGCAGCUUGUUUUCUUUGGAUUUUAGCUAUAGAAUCUGCAUGUAAUUAUUUACCUAGGAUCCUCAAGUUCUUCUCAAUACUGGCAAUUGUUAGUUUUGAGGUUUCACUUCAGUAGCAUCAAGGAAAAUCAAGAAAGGUCUUAGAAAGUUGAUGGAGGAAAUUUGAAAGUGGUGGAAGGAGAUUUGAUUCCUAAACACCAAAUUAAGAUUCAUCUGUUUUGCAGGAUUAGAAAGAAUGUUCAAGUUAGCUCUUGUAUGCGAAUGUGAAGUCAUGAUCAAUGUGUUUAGUCCGCUGCUAUGAGAUAAACUAUUUUAUAUUAUGAUUCUUGGCAACUUAAACAUGUAUUUUCGAUUUGUAAUCUAAGUACUCAAAACAUAUUGUAAUAACUAAUUUAUUAUAACUUAUUUUCCUAAGAAGCUUGGAUACUAUGGGAUUUCCUAAUUUUCCCUAGCAAGGAAGGUGUGGAAAUCCGCCCUAACAGUC